rnacentral:rRNA from 1 species
UCCUACGGGAGGCAGCAGUGGGGAAUAUUGGACAAUGGGGGCAACCCUGAUCCAGCCAUGCCGCGUGUGUGAAGAAGGCCCUCGGGUUGUAAAGCACUUUCAGCGAGGAAGAACGCCUAGCGGUUAAUACCCGCUAGGAAAGACAUCACUCGCAGAAGAAGCACCGGCUAACUCCCUGCCAGCAGCCGCGGUAAUACGGAGGGUGCAAGCGUUAAUCGGAAUUACUGGGCGUAAAGCGCGCGUAGGUGGCUUGAUAAGCCGGUUGUGAAAGCCCCGGGCUCAACCUGGGAACGGCAUCCGGAACUGUCAAGCUAGAGUGCAGGAGAGGAAGGUAGAAUUCCCGGUGUAGCGGUGAAAUGCGUAGAGAUCGGGAGGAAUACCAGUGGCGAAGGCGGCCUUCUGGACUGACACUGACACUGAGGUGCGAAAGCGUGGGUAGCAAACAGGAUUAGAUACCCUGGUAGUCCACGCCGUAAACGAUGUCGACCAGCCGUUGGGUGCCUAGCGCACUUUGUGGCGAAGUUAACGCGAUAAGUCGACCGCCUGGGGAGUACGGCCGCAAGGUUAAAACUCAAAUGAAUUGACGGA